GGGGAAGGGUAGAGUAAGACCACAAGCAGUCUGAGUAAUCAAAGGGAUUGGGACAGCUUAAGCACACAGUCACAGAGGUAACCUAAUUGAGGGAGACUCAGGCCGAGUCUCUGGGAUUACUGGUUAUAGGACGUGACUGGUGGUGCUGCCUAGCAGGGGGAUCUGUUGAGAUCUGUGCUAGAGCGGGGAGAGAAACCAUAUAAAGGACAGUCCGGACUGGUGGAGUCCCUGGUGGUGCCUAGAGACAGGCAGUAACCACGAGCAGGUAGGAACCUGACAGGGAGAGCCAGGGAAGGGCAUCACAGGAAGACAGUGAACCAAGUCUCAUAGAGGCACAGUUACUGCUCCUCCCCUGGGCAAUGAAGUGGAACUGCUGCAGUCAAUCUACUUAAAGGGUUCAUACAGACUUAGCAUCUUAUCCUUCCUACCAAAAGACUCGUGGGUGUGAAUCUGUGAUGCUACAAGCCUGAGACUGCAUCAGAUCCUGGGAGCUUCUCACUACAUGGAGUAUUAUUCUUUAUGGAGCACCUUCUCCCCUACUUUUUGUGAUAGUUUAUAAAGUCGCCAGAAGGACUGUAUCUAUAAGAGACCAACUCCACAGUCACGGAAGAUGUGCGUGCUACAUCAUCAUCCCACCCAGUGAAGGGGAAGAGCAGUGGAAUCAACCUUCAAUCCAAAAAGGAAAAGACUAGGAAGCAGGCAUGACCAGGUACCAGAAAAAAGUUGCAUACAGUGAAACCUGAGAAGAACAGUCUGUUAUCUUCCUGUUAACUGAUUGGACUGGCAAUAUCUGACCUGUGUGUAGGCAACAUGUGUUAGAGGGAAGAAUAUUCAUUUUCUGUCAGCCACGCAAACUCACUUCAAAAUCUGAAAGUCAAGCAGCGUUAUCUUAGGCUUAGACAUCAAGAUCACUUGCAGCUGUUAGGUCAGCAGACUAUGUCAAAGAAGGAUUCAAACUCGAGUCACUAAUAAGAUGCGACGACAUACAUUGGCCAUAUGAAGGAAGUGCAGUUUCGGGUUUACAAUAUUCCAAGGAAAAAGGGGGGAAACAGCAGAAGAAGCCAAUGUGGCUUCACAAAAAGCUUUAGAGAUGACCUGAAAACAAAAAAGGACACAUACAGGAAGUGGAAAGAAGGCCAGGCCACAAAGGAAGAGUACACGCAGGUAUCACAGAAUUGCAGAGAUGGCGUCAGGAAGGCUAAAGCUAAGAAUUAGCUGAGAUUAGCGAGAGAUGCUAAAAGCAACAAAAAAGCUUUCUUCAGGUACGUCCAUAGUAAAAGACAGAGAAAGGAAAUGGUGGCACAGCUACUCAAUGAGGAUGGCAAAAUGAUAACAGAUGACAAAGAAAAAGCAGAAGUGCUCAAUUCCUACUUUGGCUCAGUCUUCUCCCAAAAAAGGGUCUAUGACACUCCUGGAAAACGUGAAGUAGAAGGGGCAGGAUUGGAGCUUGAGAUUGAUAGGCAAAUGGUCAAGGAAUACCUAAUCACUUUGAACGAGUUCAAAUUGGCAGGGCCCGAUAUACUGCAUCCUAGAGUAUUGAAGGAACUGGCUGAAGAACUCUCAGAACCACUGUCUAUCAUCUUUACAAAAUCAUGGAGGACUGGUGAAGUGCUGGAUGACUGAAGGAGAGCUAAUGUUGUCCCUAUCUUCAAAAAGGGCAAAAAGGAGGAACCGGGGAACUACAGACCAGUCAACCUUACAUCAAUCCCUGGAAAAACUCUGGAGCAGAUUAUAAAGCAGUCAGUCUGUAAGCACCUCGAAAACAAUGCAGUGAUUACUAGGAGCCAACACAGAUUUAUGAAGAACAAAUCCUGCCAAACUAAUCUUAGCUCAUUUUUUUAUUGGGUAACCUCCCUGGUAGACUGUGGGAAUGCUGUGGACAUACUAUAUCUCGACUUCAGCAAAGCUUUUGACCAAGUGCCCCAUGAUAUUCUGAUUAGCAAUCUAGCUAAAUGUGGACUGGAUGGAACAACUCCAGAAUCGUACUCAAAGAGUGCUUAUCAAUGGUUCCUUCUCAAACUGGGUGGAAGUAACGAGUGGGGUACCACAGGGCUCGGUCUGGGUCCCAGUGUUCUUCAACAUUUUUAUUAAUGACUUGGAUGAGGAGGUACAGAGCAUGCUUAUCAAAUUUGCAGAUGAUACAAAAUUGGAGGGCAAAGCUAAUACCAUGGAAGACAGAAACAAAAUUCAAAGGCACCUUGAUAGGCUGGAGCAUUGGGUUGAAAACAACAGAAUGAAAUUCAACAGGGAUAAAUGCAAAGUUCUACACUUAAGAAAAAGAAACCAAAUGCACAGUUAUAAGAUGGGGGAUACUUGGCUCAGCCAUACAACAUGUGAGAAGGAUCUUGGAAUUGUUGUCGAUCACAAGCUGAAUAUGAGCCAACAGUGCAAUGUGGCUCCAAAAAAGGCAAAUGCUAUUUUAGGCUGCAUUAACAGAAGUAUAGAUUCCAAAUCGUGUGAAGUACUACUUCCCCUCUAUUCAUCACUGGUUAGGCCUCAUCUUGAAUACUGCAUCCAGUUCUGGUCUCCGUACUUCAAGAAGGAUGCAAACAAACUGGAACAGGUUCAGAGGAGAGCAACAAGGAUGAUCAUGGGACUGGAAAGAAAGCCCUAUGAGGAGAGACUGAAAGAACUGGGCAUGUUUAGCCUGGAGAAGAGAAGACUGAGGGGAGUUAUGAUAGCAUGAAAGGUUGUCAUACAGAGGAGGGCCAGGAUCUCUUCUCGAUCGUCCCAGAGUGCAGGACAUGGAAUAAUGGGCUCAAGUUGCAGGAAGCCAGAUUUCGACUGGACAUCUGGAAAAACUUCCUGACUGUAUGGAAGUUCCUAACUGACAAUGGAACCAAUGACCUAGAGAGGUAGUGGGCUCUCCAACACUGGAGGCAUUCAAGAAGCAGCUGGACAGCCAUCUGUCGGGAAUGCUUUGAUUUGGAUUCCUGCAUUGAGCAGGGGGUUGGACUUGAUGGCCUUAUAGGCUCCUUCCAACUCUACUAUUCUAUGAUUCUAUUCCCUUCAUGGUACUCUUUUCUACCUGGAUAUUGUGACUGUCACUUCACCUAAGCAGAAGAUUGUUUCUAGGGCUCUGUGAAUACUUUACAACAGCAGCUGUUAGAACCAGAAGCAGAUGUGAAUUACCUAGUCUACUUACUUACUUACUUACUUACUUACUUACUUAAAAUAUACCACAAUUUCAUAGAAAAUAUCAAAGCAGUGUAAAACAUAUAUACAAUAACAAAAAUCGUAGAUCAUGGGCUAACGUAUAGUCUGACACUGGCCAUUGGAAGAAAUGACUGGCAUGCACAAGCAAGGAAAGGUUUCCCCUGUAUGCAAACGUUCUAGCAACAUGUAGGUAAAGAGAAUAUAGACUGGGCCUAGAGAAUAACCCUACCUUCAGCUGCCCAGCUUGCAAGGAUUUUGGUAAUUCAGAUAAAGCAGCAGUGGAGAAUGUGAUGUUCCUAUAUUAAUGUAUAUAUGGUAAGUGUUGUUGUUUUAGAAGAAACAUGGUAAGUGGAGUGAAAGAGGAGGGGGAGUGAAUGGGCAGUAGAAUGCGAGAUGAUUGGCUGAGUGUUUAAAAUGGCUGAAUGUAUAAAAGGAAGAGGGAGAGUGGAAUCUGGGGGGGAAAGAGAAAGAGUGGAUUGCUUGGUGGGGUUUGAGAGAGUUGUUUGCCAGGAGAGAGUGAAGAAGGAGGGAGGUGGAGUUCGGAUUAGUAUUGAGUAAAACCAUAUGCUUAUGUGCCUUA